ACCAUUCUCAACCAUCUUUUAGGGCCAUCCCUGAAUGUGGGUCUGCCAUUACUGCUCACGUUUUGUUUGCACCCGCAGACCAAGCUGAACUAUCCGUCAGCCAAGGCGGGCUGCUUCUCUCCUCCCUUAGCUGAAGGAAAUGUCUGUGUGGCCAUAGCUACAAACUGAGGGAGAAGGACUGAUGAAAAUCUAUAGGUGGCAUAGGGUCUGGCCCAUGUGUUCAUGGAUGUAACUUGUGUCCUCUGGUCCUGCUCAAUUUCCUUCCUGAACGUGCAGGUCCAUUCUAUUAUGGACAGGUGUCCCUAGGCCUCUCCGAACUCAUGACUGUGAACCUAACAGAACCCAGCUCAUAAUGGGAAAUUCCAAAGGCAUUGUCACUUCCUGUCCCACAUUCCAGUGCUCCAACUUUACCAGGACUCAGUUUGAUGUCAAAAGAUGUUUCUCUCUUAAAGAUUUAUAAUUCUCAUGGUUGACAGCAUGGCCCUAGAAUUCCAGGGGCCUGCCUUGGGGCUCUCCCAUUACAGCCACUAUGGUGCAUCCUUUCCCACCACUGACACUUCUGGUGCCAUAGCCUUUGCUAGAUUAUGUGACCCAAGCUGCAGCACUGAUUGCACUAUGAUCUGGACUUACGCUAGUGACCCUUCCUACUCCAGGAAACCUUACAGUCUUUUGUGUCCCCCAGUAAUUAUUCUGAGGUGUGGUUGUGCUGCCUAUAGUCCCAAAGGGGUCUGUCAAGCACUAUAUUUUCUUCUUUGUGGUGGAAGAUUCAAGAUGCAGCAAAUGGGGAUUUCUCCUUAUUGCUCAAUGGGUUAAGGACCUGACAUUGUCUCUGUGAGGAGGUGGGUUCAAUCCCUGGCCUCUCUCAGUGGGUUAAGGAUCCGGCAUUGCUAUAAGCUGUGGCAUAGGUCACAGAUGCAGCUUGGAACCAGCGUUGGCUGCAGCUCCAAUUUGACCCCAGCCCAGGAACUUCCAUAUGCCGCAGGUGUGGCCAUAAAGAGAAAAAGAAAAUAAAAGCAAAAAGGUGCAGCAGUUUGUUUUUUACUUUGAAAUACACAUCAUGGUAGUCUUCUGAUACUAGAUCCUUCAAAUUACACUGACAUGUCCAGUCUCUGUAACUUGGAAGGUUUACUUUCCCAUCUCUGGGAUGGAUAUCUUGCCAAGGCUUAGAGAACACUAGUUGCUUAUUUCUCAUCUUGCCAACUGAGCAUAAUGUCAUUGGUGUAAUGGAGCAGCAUGACAUCGAGAUGUCCAGGUGGUCCAGAUCUCUUAGGACAAUAUUAUAACAAAAGGCAGGAAAAUUCCCCUUGUGGCUCAGUGGUUAGCGAACCCAACUAGCAUCCAUGAGGAUGUGGGUUCCAUCCCUGACCUUGCUCAGUAGGUUAAGGAUCCUGCGUUGCUGUGAGCCGUGGUAUAGGUUGCAGACGCUGCCUGGAUCCGGCAUUGAUGUGGCUGUGGUGUAGGCCUGCAGCUACAGCUCCAGUUGGGCCCCUAGCCUGGGGACAUCCAUAU
rnacentral:lncRNA from 1 species